AGAAGAGCUGGAUUUGCAAAUGCAGUAGUGACCAUUGCGCUUGCUAACUUUAGUCAAAAAUCACUUUUUCUUGAAAGUUACAACUUACAAGCCUUGUCUUAGAGUGCACCGGGAAGAAGAAAACCUAACGAGGCAGCAAAAUUCCGUUAUCUUUCUCUUAAGUGAUGAUGAUGAAUCACGUACUGGAACCUGAAAUUCUUCAAGAAGAAAUUCUUGAGGAAACAAUAGAAAAUAAUGACGUAUUGAGGAAGACACUUGAAGAUGAGAAUAAUGAGUUGCGAAAGAAAGUCCAAGAUGGGGAAGAACUGAGGAGCAGAGUUGAAAAGAAACUUAAAACUGAGGAGAAGAGCUGAAAAGAAAGUCCAAGAUGCAGAAGAACUGACGAGAAUAAUUUCAAAGAAACUUCAAGAUGAGGAAGCACUGAGGAAAAUAUUUGAAGCCGAGACGGUAGAAUUGAGGAUGGAAAAUCAAUAUCAGAAAUAAGUGAAUAAAACACUUCAAAAUGAGUUUAAAAUACUCAAGAAUUCAGCUGAACAGCUCGGUAAAGAAAAUAGGCUGCUGGAUGGAUGUUUUUCAGAUUUGGCCAAAGUCUUCUCCAACGAUAAUGUAGAUUUGUAGAAACUGAUCUAUAUAAGUUAACAAGGUAGUUGCUUCAAGGAAAAUAUUGACAACUUGCAAGUAGCUAGGUUUAUAUGCUCUAAUUACCAUUGUAAAUUCUUAUAGUAGUAUCUUGUACUGUAACUACACAUUUCUAAUUAACAUCUAUCAAGUAUUAACCUACAUGCUUAGUCAAUUA